GUAGGGUGCGAGCGUUAAUCGGAAUUACUGGGCGUAAAGCGUGCGCAGGCGGUUCGUUGUGUCCGAUGUGAAAUCCCCGGGCUCAACCUGGGAAUGGCAUUGGAAACUGGCGGACUGGAGUGCGGCAGAGGGGGGUGGAAUUCCGCGUGUAGCAGUGAAAUGCGUAGAGAUGCGGAGGAACACCGAUGGCGAAGGCAGCCCCCUGGGCCGACACUGACGCUCAGGCACGAAAGCGUGGGGAGCAAACAGGAUUAGAUACCCUGGUAGUCCACGCCCUAAACGAUGUCGACUGGGUGUCGGGAGAGAGAUCUCUUGGUACCGUAGCUAACGCGUGAAGUCGACCGCCUGGGGAGUACGGCCGCAAGGUUAAA
rnacentral:rRNA from 1 species